rnacentral:rRNA from 1 species
AUACGGAGGAUCCAAGCGUUAUCCGGAUUUAUUGGGUUUAAAGGGUGCGUAGGCGGACUGGUAAGUCAGCUGUGAAAGUUUGCGGCUUAACCGUAAAAUUGCAGUUGAUACUGUCAGUCUUGAGUGUGCAUGAGGUGGGCGGAAUUUGUGGUGUAGCGGUGAAAUGCUUAGAUAUCACGAGGAACUCCAAUUGCGAAGGCAGCUCACUGGGGCAUAACUGACGCUGAUGCACGAAGGUGUGGGUAUCAAACAGGAUUAGAUACCCUGGUAGUCCACACAGUAAACUAUGAAUACUCGCUGUUUGCGAUAUACAGUAAGCGGCCAAGCGAAAGCAUUAAGUAUUCCACCUGGGGAGUACGUUCGCAAGAAUGAAACUCAAAUGAAUUGGCGGGG